AUAAAAUUUUAAAGUCUCUAAUUAAGGCUUUGGCAUUAAAACAAAAAGUUUAAAGAAUGAAAGACACACACAAGAGACUUAGCAGUCAAGAGUAAAGUUAUUCUGCAUAUCAAUUUCUCAUCAUUGUUGUUCAAGUCCAGAGAUAGCCUGGGAAUAAUAUCCAUCUUAUUUAGUGACAGAGGUUUAUCCUGUUUCAGCAUUAGAUGGUGUAAAGUAUAUUUCAGCCCUCAAAAAGCCUUGUCCUCACAUCUUGAUUUUCCUUUUUUUUUCAAAGCUCCAUCCUUUCAUCUUAUGACAUUACAUAGACGUCCUUGUAUGUAUCUUCUUACUUGCUGUCUCAAUGUCCAAGCAUUUCUUGCACGGUGUAUCCCAACAUUCUUAUAUCUCAAUUUUAUUUAAAGUUCACGUGCUAGACCUCCAUGAUAUGAAUGCGUUGUUUAUAGUUUAGAAUUUAAACUAUAUAAUCCUACGUUGACAGAUUCAAUGCAACAUUUUCCCAAAAGCAAGAUACCGAUUCAUUGAUGUUUGACACUAACGCACAUAUUAUUUUCAUUUGUUACAGAUUCAGUUGGUGAAUAUAUAGCUCAGGGAGCAUCAUCCCCUUUUUUUUUUUUUUUUUCUUAUCAGAUCCCAUAUUUAGUCAAAAGAAUUUCAAUGAAAUAUAUCACUUGCAUAUAUUGCAGUUUUGGAGGGGAAUGAAGCUGUGUAACGGUUAGCUUCAUUGCAGUUUGGGGACAUCUCAUAACUUAUUGUGUUCUUCUGUUCUUCGCAUUUUACAUGUCCUGUUUUAAUAUCCCUCUAUUCAAUACUCUCUCUUCUCUCAUUUAUUUCUCAUAUUCUCUUUAUUUAUGUUCUUCUCGCCAGUUCAUAUAGACUAAACUAGAUUCACAUAUUCCUUUUGAACUUUUGCUUUGUUAAGCCUACAGUAGAGUAUAAUAACUGCAAUAACCCAGAGAAAGACUUGUGUCCACAUUGUCUUAUUGGUUAUUGGCCUGUUUGAUUGUUCUGCAGCACGAGGAAGGGCAUGUCAAAUUGCACCAGGGGUUAGUCAGUAGUUUUCAUCCGGAUCAUCAUACCAGGGGAAGAUCACGCAUAAGUUGGGGAUAGUGCUAUUGGGUUUCCUCAAAGACAUGUACUAGCAGAUUAAUUAAAUCAGGGGUCAUUAGGGGGAAAAAAAAAAAUGACAUAUCAGUAGUGUACAAAACUCAGAAUCUGAAAAUUUCCUCCCAGAUGCAGAUUGACCGUAGUUGUUUGAUUUUUCAGUUUUCUUUCUUUUUUGAUCCCUAUCAGUGUUUGAACUAUGUAAAUAUAGAUUAUAAAUGCAUAUAAAUUUUCUUUC